AUACUUACCUGGCAAGGGAGAUACCGUGAUCAAGAAUGCUAUUCAACCAGAGCGAGGCUCAGCCAUUGCACUCCGGCUGCGCUGACCCCUGUGAAUUUCCCAAAUGUGGAAAUCUCAAUUGCAGAAUUUCUGGUAGUGGGGGACUGCGUUCGCACUCUCCCCUG
ensembl:snRNA U1 U1 spliceosomal RNA